rnacentral:rRNA from 1 species
GAUGAACGCUGGCGGCGCGCCUAACACAUGCAAGUCGAACGGCACCCACCUUCGGGUGGAAGCGAGUGGCGAACGGCUGAGUAACACGUGGAGAACCUGCCCCCUCCCCCGGGAUAGCCGCCCGAAAGGACGGGUAAUACCGGAUACCCCGGGGUGCCGCAUGGCACCCCGGCUAAAGCCCCGACGGGAGGGGAUGGCUCCGCGGCCCAUCAGGUAGACGGCGGGGUGACGGCCCACCGUGCCGACAACGGGUAGCCGGGUUGAGAGACCGACCGGCCAGAUUGGGACUGAGACACGGCCCAGACUCCUACGGGAGGCAGCAGUGGGGAAUCUUGCGCAAUGGGGGGAACCCUGACGCAGCGACGCCGCGUGCGGGACGGAGGCCUUCGGGUCGUAAACCGCUUUCAGCAGGGAAGAGUCAAGACUGUAC